AUCAAAGUUGAUGAGGUUACGGAUGAAAAUAUGUAUGUAAAGAAGUAUGAAGUACUUGUUGGCUAAUUAGUUAGUUGGAUAUCCGUUGCACAGAGAAUGGCCCUUCUUGUCCACCUCAUGCCCUGCCAUUUUUCUUCGUUAUUUUUUCUGAUUUUUCCAGUGUUCUUCAACUUCAAUGGCUAUCUGUUGGAUGAAAUCUUUGGUUUUCGAAUUGACUUUUCUUAUACAUUGAUAAUAAUUGCAAGUUCUUUUCUUCCCUUGCUUUGAAGAGUUCAGACCACAUGUUUUAUAUAUCUUAUCCUUUUUCAUGUAUCAAUUCAAAUAUCUUUGAAGCGAUGUGGGCUUAAGAAUAUGAUAUAUCUUGGUGGAAGGUGAUCCAAAUUCCUCAGAGGCAGCUGAAAGCAUCAAAACGGCUUGCUUCACGACUGAGAUCUUGGAGGGUUACUCAAUCAAUCAACCAAUACUACAGAUCUCUAGAUACCACGCAACAGUGCAUUGGUGGAUGCCCUCCUUUUGAUGAAUUUAUCAAAAGGUGUGAAGACUUGGAUAAAAUGAAUGUAUUCGGUAUCCAGCUCAUGCAGGUUUCCCAGGUAACAGAGGAAAUUGCUCUUGCUGUUUUAGAUAUGUACCCAACAUUGUUGUCUCUUGCUUGUGCCUAUUCUCUUCUGGAGGGUGAUGAUACAGCACAAGAGGAAAUGCUCAAAAGGCAGAGCAACCAGUGUGCCCGCCAGCAAAAACAUAUUCCAAUUAAUUUGGGGUGGUUAAAGUAGAGUACUAUGUAUUAAUAUAUGGGAUUUGUCAAGGUUGUAAAGAUGCAAGAGAAAAGGAUGCCUUGCCAAUGUUUCUUCUAUAUCAUCCGCAGUGGUUUUGAUUCGUUUGCUGGUAAAAUUUAUGUACUACUACUAUAUCCUUUCCCUUAAAUGCCUAUGUGGUUUUACUUUCAA